UUACGGCCAUAUCACGUUGAAACACCGGUUCCAGUACGAUCACCGAAGUUAAGCAAUGUCGAAGUUAGUCAGUAACUAGAUGUGUAACCGCUUAGCAAUACCGGGCGUUGUAAG